CCCAGACUCCUACGGGAGGCAGCAGUGGGGAAUAUUGCACAAUGGGGGGAACCCUGAUGCAGCGACGCCGCGUGGGUGAAGGAGUAUUUCGGUAUGUAAAGCCCUAUCAGCAGGGAAGAACAAUGACGGUACCUGACUAAGAAGCACCGGCUAAAUACGUGCCAGCAGCCGCGGUAAUACGUAUGGUGCAAGCGUUAUCCGGAUUUACUGGGUGUAAAGGGAGCGCAGGCGGCGCGUUAAGCCUGGUGUGAAAGCCCGCGGCCCAACCCCGGGACUGCUCUUGGAACUGCGUGGCUGGAGUGCAGGAGGGGCAGGCGGAAUUCCUGGUGUAGCGGUGAAAUGCGUAGAUAUCAGGAGGAACACCGGUGGCGAAGGCGGCCUGCUGGACUGCAACUGACGUUGAGGCCCGAAAGUGUGGGGAGCAAACAGGAUUAGAUACCCUAGUA
rnacentral:rRNA from 1 species